rnacentral:rRNA from 1 species
AUUGAACGCUGGCGGCAUGCCUUACACAUGCAAGUCGAACGGUAACGGGCUAAGCGGUGGCGUCGCGUGGGGGAGGGGUGUGUAAUGGAACGGACCCUGCCCGGGCGGGGGGGUUAACGAGACAACAGCUUAUCUAAUAUCCCACCCGAGCUAGGAAGCGGAGGAGGGGAAGGCCAGGCCUGGUUGGGACGGCGGGGACGAUGGCAGAUUAGGUAGUUGGUGAGGUAAAAGCUUACCAAGCCGACGAUCUGUAGCUGGUCUGAGAGGACGAUCAGCCACACUGGGACUGAGACACGGCCCAGACUCCUACGGGAGGCAGCAGUGGGGAAUUUUGGACAAUGGGCGCAAGCCUGAUCCAGCCAUGCCGCGUGCAGGAUGAAGGCCUUCGGGUUGUAAACUGCUUUUGUAAGGAAAGAAAAGCCUUCUUUUAAUACCGGAGGGUCAUGACGGUACCGUAAGAAUAAGCACCGGCUAACUACGUG